CUGUGGGUAAAUCAACCAGCUUAACUGGUUGAAUUCUGCAGAGACUGCCAGACUAGGGACCGGGAGAGGUGUGGGGUACUCUAGGGGUAGGGGUAAAAUCCUGUCAUCCUUAGAGGACCACCAGUUGCGAAGGCGCCACACUAGAACGGAUCCGACGGUCAGGGACGAAGCCUAGGGGCACGAACCGGAUUAGAUACCCGGGUAGUCCUAGGUGUAAACGCUGUGAACUUGGUGUCGGGAGUCCGCAAUGGGCCCCCGGUGCCGGAGUGAAGAUGUUAAGUUCACUGCCUGGGGAGUACGGUCGCAAGGAUGAGACUUAAAGGAAUUGGCGGGGGAGCACUGCAACGGGAGGAGCGUGCGGUUUAAUUGGAUUCAACGCCGGAAAACUCACCAGGGCCGACUGUUAGAUGAAGACCAGCGUAAUGAGCUUGUCGGAUUUUCAGAGAGGUGGUGCAUGGCCGUCGUCAGUUCGUACUGUAAAGCGUUCUGUUAAGUCAGAU
rnacentral:rRNA from 1 species